UUCAAUAGCAUCAGAUGCAAUGGGUUAUUUUGGGACAAUUUACAGAGCACGUGGGUUGCUCUGGAGAGAAUUAGAGGGGAGUUUCUUUCUGAUUGUGAAAUUGUGGUAGCGGAAAUUCUGUUCCAUCCCUUCCCCACCAAUCCCUUUAACACACACCAUUUUAUUUCACUUCUAGAAAAAUUUAAUUCCUUUGGAAAAACAUCACUUGAGAGGAAAGAACCAGGACCUUUUUCAGCUGUAAACUUGCUCCGCACAGGCGGGAUGUGCUUGGGUAGCGGCUCUGAGAAUCAGGCUCUUAGAAAUGAAAGGAGGGGGCUUUUGACCCAGGCUGGAGCCCUGACUGGCACAUCCCAAGUGAGGCAGCUUCUGAGGAGGGGCUACAUCUGGGUGGCAGCUGACUCUCUGGGAAAUCCCGAGACCAGCCCAUGAAGAUUUGCAAUGCAGAGCAUCCUGUCCGUGACGUCAUGCCACCUGGUUUAUGGCCUCGUUGCUUGGCGUUUUGAGUUGAGUAACGCCUGCUGGUGCACCAGGCACCGCCUCCGUAACCACAAGGAAGGGGCAGCAUCAGGCGAGUCUCCCAGGCAUUUGCUGGGAAAUCGCUUCCUUUGUGCCAGACGGAUGAAUGUUUUCCGUAUUUCUCACAAAAGGAAAAGGGUUGCAUGACGAAGGUUAACAUAACAAUCUUCUCUUAUUACUGUGAUUUAUGUGUGCAUAAC